UUCACAUACUAAAAUGUUGGUAAGGAUGUGAGAAUUAUAUGUCAACUUUAUAUAGGGGGAAAUCAUACAGCAGUCACAUUUCCUCCUACUUUUUGCCGUACAGAGGAUAUAAAGAAUUCUGAAAUGCUGGGGAAUCUUUAACGCUUUAUGAUUUUGAUCAUAAACUUGGUUACAUAAAAAGGUAGAUGGGAAAGACAUACUGGUGCCCUGAAUG